rnacentral:miRNA from 1 species
CAGGAAAACGAGUUUGUUCUCCUGGCACUAUAGUGGUCCUUUAAAGGACCACUAUAGUGCCAGGAAAACAUACUCGUUUUCCUGGCACUAU